CGGACUCCAAGUUCUAUUCAGUUUCCACUCAGAACCAACCACAAAACGGAUUCCACCUAUUGCCGAGUUCUACUCGGUUUCCUUCUUUUUUUAUCACGUUGGUGGAACUCAGAUUGGAACUCUACUCGAUACGGACCAAGACCUCAGUUCAAUUCGGACUUCGCAACAGAUUCGAUAGAGAGAAGAUAUGGUAAUACUUGGCUGUGUAUAGAUGGUGACAAGAACUCGAAACUCUAAAGGACUAGACACUAAGACUAGCAACUCGACACAAACCGAAGCAACGCAAAUUCAACAAGCCCUAACUAAAACGGUACUAGCCAAGGCACAAGGGUUUAAUAGGAUUAUGGAAAAACUAAUCUACUAUUUUUUUUGGCUUUUCUAGACUAUAGAAAAUUAAUUAAAAACAGCAAAGGAUUAGAAGUCUCUCACCGAAGAACCUUGCUCUGAUUACCAACUGAUGCGAACCCGCUAGGGUUUUUGCCCGAUCAUUUGAUGAGAGACAGGGAUAACUCGAUUGGUGGAUGGAGAUGACGUUCACGGCCCGACUACAGCCCUCAAGACCGCGCCUUAGCAACCGAUACACCACGUCCAAUAGCCGUCACGAUCUAGUGGAGCGCGACAACCAGCCCCUAGGGCUCCCAUCCUGCAAGCAAUCGAAGAACUAGCAAAAACGAGGAAACAAGCACUGAAUUUGCAAGAUGAAUUGAAGGUUUCAAACUGAAUCUGAAUCAACAAUGGGGUUCCGAAGACAAGGAGAGGGGCGGCUGAUCCUGCACGCGUGCCUACAAGCAAGUAGCGAAGGCUAAACUUGAUCUAAACAAAACCCAACGACCAUGGUGACUCUAGAGGGAUAUAAGUAGAUGGAUUGACGACCAAAGAGGUGUUGGGGUUGUCCUCCAACCCUAGGACGCGUCCCUAAUGGACCCAACUUGAUACAUGGGCCAUCAGCCCAAAAUGAGGUGACGCAGCACCCUGGACAGCAAGACCUAUC
rnacentral:lncRNA from 1 species